AAGCGCUGGGUCCAUCUUCGGGUUUACCAGUGGUGCCCGGACGUCCAGUUCCCAUUACUACAGGUUAUUCCUGUCCAGAACGCGGGGUAGACGGCCGAGACGUGCGUGACCAUCUUACCGAGCGCGGGUGAACUUGGGCCCUUUCGUUGCCUGAGCUGCACCUGUCUUACUGUAAUGUAGGAAUGUGUGUGCAACACAGCAAGCCUAAAUGUUAGGGCAAUGGGCAGUGUUUCCAAAGCCAGAUGGAACUCAAUAGCCACUUCAUUUCUGAGCUUCAAUCCCAUGAAACUGAGAAGGAAGAAAAGAUCCAGUGUUCCCCAGGUAGAGCUCCUCAGACAUGGCAGGAGGUGUACAGCUUCUCUGAAUUAUGACUCCUUGCCCCAGCACAUGCCCAAGGAGCUGUGGUGUGCAGGUAACUGAAGUAGAGCCACCUAGCAGGACUCUCUCUGGAAAUGCCUGUCAAGUAGUUUGCAGGACUCCAGAUACUGAGAUGAAGCAGCGCUUGACUGGAACCACGCAGGACGACAGAUUCCACCCUUUCCUGGUCUUCUCUUGUCAGGACUUCAGGCCCAUCUUGGCCAUCAUCUCUUCAUAGACUGUCCACGCCAUAGCUGCCAUCAGAGUUCUGCGGAGGGUCCGGGGGACACUGCCUUGAAAGAAGCCACGCAACCCAUGGUCCUAUGAUGAAAAUAAAAGUCAAAACUCCAGAAACAAAGUGGCAAUAUAAUUAACUAUCCAUCUGGCAC